GCAAGCACGAAACUCGAUGGACAAGCAUUGAUCAUCUCCUAGCAUUGUCUUUAUAAGUGCCGGCUUCACAGUGCCGUCUUCUAUCGGCAAACGAACGCCCAGAGUUCGAGUCUCUGAGAGUCAAGAAAGAGUCCAAAAGAACCGGAGGUGAAAAAGAAAAAUGAUGAACAAGAUCAAGAAGGAAAUUGAAGAUGGAAUGAAGCUGAUAUGGAAGAAGGUCGACCCAAAAGAUCUGAAACCUGGCGAUCACAUCUACGCUUAUAAGCGAUAUGGCUCUUAUAGUCACCAUGGGAUAUAUGUGGGAGGUGGUUAUGUGAUUCACUUCACCAGAACAGAAAGCAAGGAAGCCAUCCUACCACAUUCUUGGGUCAAACCAGAAACUGUGCCUGCCUGUCCAGAAUGUGGGUACCAGAGAAAAACUGGCUGUGGGGUCAUCAAGACGUGCCUUGAUUGCUUCCGUCGAGACCGCAAGAUGCUUCAUUCCAUUCAUUACUUCAUGUAUGGCGCACCGCGAUUAGGCCUUCUCCUAAAGAAUCCGGGAACUUGCAGCACCCUUUCUCGUGCCAGAUCCCCUGAACAAGUUGUUGAAGCUGCUUAUGAGCUUCUAAGGAGCAAUGGAUUUGGUGAAUACGAUCUUACUGGUAAUAACUGUGAACAUUUCGCGACUUAUUGUCAGACAGGUGUGCGUGCCAGUGUGCAGACGGCAUUUUAUGAUGCUUGCUUGAUGAAGUACAGAGAGCUGAGGAACCGCUCAUGAAGUUUGGAAUGUAGAAGGCAAAGCAACGGCAGCAAGUGCGGGAGAAAAAGAAAAAGGAGAUUUUUGACAUGCGCUUUGAGCAGGUGUCCACGACUUGGUGUAAAGCCUGGCAAGGUUUCAAACUCUUUAUUCGUUAAAAUCGAAGGAAUUUUUUGCAGUUAAAGCGGCGGAUUCGUAUCUAAUUGAAUUCUGAGUUGCUGGAUUCAAUCUGGAAUUGUUUAGCUGAAAAAUCAUGUGAUAAUCAAAUUUUAGGAUGUUGUGGAGCCUGGAUUUUACAGAUAUCAAUUUGGAGUUACGGUUUGGUUAGAGUGAAUUUCUGAAGUUUCACACACUGCUGGAAACACUGUGUGUUCAGAGCUGGUUUUUGGCUGCCUCAGGCCAUCUUUUAGGUCGGCCAAAUUUAUGAUCUUUUAAAUUUUCGAUAGAGCUUUCUCUUGACAGUAAUCUUGCUGGAAUUGGAGUUCGGUAGAGAGAUAUGACGUGACCAAAUUCGUCAGGAGAGCUGCCCUGUAAAGCAGACAACAAUGAAUGUUCUGCUGUGGUUGGCAGGAGUCAUAUUGUUGCCGAAUAAGCAUAGUUUAGUCAAGUCUUAGUUAAGGAGGUUAUUUACUUAAUUUUUUAUAUUCAUUUCUCAUUUAAUUGAUAGAAUUUUGAGUUUGUUGGCUCUAGUAGUGUUUGUUAUUUGGUUUCAGUAAUUUCCUUGUUUCUUCUGCAAUAUUUUUUUUGCUUUCUUGUUUUGUUUUCAGUGUUUUUUUUCACCUUGACUCGUGCAUUUUCACGAUGUAAUCUCCAGCUGGUUUUGCCCUCAGAAUGCAGGUGUUUGUUGUAUGAUGUAUCCUUAUGAUGAUUCUGAACUUCAAAUUGUGAUUCCAUGGAUUAAAGCUUAUUAAAUUUAGUUGUUUUUGUUGGAUAUGAGUUAGAAAGUAGGAUAUUUUGUCACAGAAUUUUGGUUUUAGUUCCUACCGUGGUUGGACUAUGUCACCCUUCACAUUUGGUUUGGGCAUUUCAUUGGAUGAAUAGAUUGAGUUUUGAUGCUUUAGUUGGAAUACUGAGCUAAAAGAAAAUUAGAAAGAAAUUGAGACAAGAAAUGAGAAUAAUGUGAUUGAGAGAAUGGAUAUGAACGAGGAGAAGGAGGCAUUUGCUACAAGAAUGAACAUAUUGGUCAUGGUGUACUAAUGGAAUAUGUUUGAUAUGCAAGAUGGACUCAGUUCCGACAGUUUGAGCAUUUGGGAUGAAGGUCUGUUUAACAUUGUAGUUUCAAUGCAAGAGCUUGAAUCAUAACUAUACAUCUUAUAGAUAUUCUCCAAGUUACACUAGUUGUUGUGCUCCUGCUUUCUGAAUAAUCCUGACAUUCAUGCGACCCCCAACUUAUGGACAAUGUGGAUUAUGAAGGAAUAUGCUUAAUACACAUGUCCAAUAACAACUUCAGAUUCUAAUUUCCCUAACUAACUUUUUUCCCACCUGCUCACAUCUCUAUAACUCAAUUAGUUCCUACUCAUCUCUAGCUCCAAUCUUCAGCUCACGACAAAUUCUCCACCAUUUUCCCUUGACUUGUGUAAUCACAGGAGGACCAGCUGUGACUAUUGAGCAGUUCAUCGUCUUCUGAGGAUGGCCUGAGUAGGAGCUUGCGAGGGAGGUCGAAUGAAUCUAUUCCAAACAGUUAUGUUGCCCCCACUUCAGAAGUCAGAAUCUUUAGUUCUGCAGAGCUGAAAGUUGCAACAAGAAGCUUCAGAUCUGAUACAAUUUUCGAUGAGGAUGGUUUGACAUAGAGGCUGCCUUGAUGUUAAAGGGUCGUCCCAGAGCAAAAGAAUGACUCUGUUUUUGUUUUGUUAAAAAUAACUUCAAUUACCAUAAAAAAGUCGAACCCAGAGAGCAUGCAAGGAUUCAAAGAGUGGAAGAUAAUCUUUGUUCCACUCAGGAAAGCUCAGGUUGCAUGUUCUUUGCAGUCUUUAAUGUUAGCACUUUGGCAUUUUUAGCAAGAAGCUCUAUUAUGAUGGUGGGAGAAGAAUCGUGUCCAGAUAUGCAGUUUGUUUUAGAAAACUGAAAAUGAGAUGAUAGAUGUCAGGGACCUUAAUUGUGGCGAGAUUGUUCUGGUUUUGCAUGGCUAGUUUCACAGGAGCUCACUAUCUCAGUUUGCUUUCUUCCUUUUGAGAAUGUAUGCCUUUUGCCCAACUGAACACAUAUUUCUGGGGGUUUGAUCAAUGAUGUGGACCAUAUAAUUAUGUUAGGAUUGCCUUUAUUUAGGAGAAGAUAGUGCUUGCUCCUCUUAUCCUUUAUUUUAGGAUCUGUAACUUGUCCUAUGACCAGGAGCAAUUCUAGGCAGGAGCUUGUAGAAAAGCCAGCUUACUCUUCCAUUCUAUAGAUUCCAUGUAAAAACAUUAAAAAAUCUUGUGAGAUUCUGUUUUCAAGGACUUCUGGGGUUAGCGUAAGUCUUUUCCAUACAUGCAAUAGAAGAAUAAAAAUUUGCUUAUUCUGCGCCUGGUGCUGUUAAUUUUCCAGUCUUUAUUUUAUCUCUAUUAAAAAUUAAAACAGCAGGCACAGUGCCGGGUGAAAUACAUGGCUCUUAUAAGUUUCCGUAGGCAUGUGCCAUUUGGAGGUUUGAAAUAAUCAAUUGAGAAGAGCUGUUUUCAUCAGUUUGCUGAACAGAUUGUCGGGAUGUAAAGUGAUGAUACACAAAUGGUCAAGGCAUAGAUGUUUUGGAAUGCACAUUUGAGUGGCUGUCUCAUGGUGUGUGAAUUAGAAGGCAAGCUACUGUAAUUCCUAGAACCAUUUGAUCUAUAGAUACCUUAAGUGAGCAAUUGUGCUCUUGAUCUAAAUCUUGAGAUUCUACAGUCUUGUCCUACAGUUGUUAUGUCUAAGUUGUGUAGUGCAUACUUCAUGUAUGUUAGUUUUCCAGCAGCCAAGCGGCACGGAAUUGGAGGAAACAAGUAAGAGGAGAGAAGCUUUGCAAGCUUAGCUUCUAUCUCUGAGGUUCUUGAGUGCUGGCGUAGAAAUGUCUUCUGAAUCUUGGUCAUAGUUUAUAAAUUUUAUGGUGAAGUACUGUGAUAGCUUAUAAAUUUUGAAAUGUAGGGACUCUUCUUGCAUUUCAGAGGACUUUAGGCCCUGCAUCAGAAACUAUUGUGACUUAUAUCCUUGCUGUUUAAGCUAAAGCCAGAGGAUGUCACUAUAAUGUACCUGAAACAUUAAAUACUGAUAUGAGUUUUAGGACAUUAGAGCCACUUCUGGAAUUUCUCAUCAUAGUUCUAGGAGCUAAAACCAUCCUUAGUGAGGAUAAUUUAUUUGUGGAAAAAUAUGCUGGCCAGCCCUGAAAGUGAGUUGAGGUGAGCAAAUCGUUUGAGUCAAAACUUAUGCUACUUUAGGAGAAACUGGACAUAACUGUUCUUCUUCAUUAUCCUUAAAAGAAUGAAUAAGAUCCUGCCUUUUUCUUUUUAUGAAUCACCUGUUAAAUGGAGGUCAACACGUUAUUAACAUGCAAGUCUUUUAAAAGGGAAAAGAUAAGGACGGAAGGACUUAGCCUCCACAUAAAUCUAGUAAGCAUAUAAAUUUUUCAAUAUUGAUCAUCACUCAAGAUGCUAUUGUCUUUCUUGGAAGGUGGACAUCUACUUUGUACGGCACAAGAUGAGUGCAUUCUUUUUGAUCAUGUUGCAUAUCAGAGCAUAUGAUUCUGUGUUUUAGACUCGAUAUGGCCACCUGUACUGUCAUCAUUCUUAUCCUCUAUUGGCUUUGCCAAUGUCAAAAUCAUGCGAGGGAUGUUUACUUGCUUUAUAAAUAGGUUGAGCACUUAAGAUUUGCUUACUCCUUGGUUGAUUUUCAUGAAUAUGAGGUUGUGUAUUUACAGUAAGGCAUAUGAAAUUCAACCGUGCGGUUCACAUGUCAGGAUUUACUAUUGAACAUGGGUGAUGAUGCAUCUUUGAAUAUUUCAUCCCGGUUUUACUUCAGAUUUUUGCUACCAUCUAAAUUUUGUAGGGUGCAUCCAUAGUAGAUGGCUCUUAGGGUGGCCUUGUGGGUUUCUUCAAUUUCUUAUCGCACAAAUUGGUCGUUCUAUCUCUCUCUUUUCUUUGCAGGAGAUGCCUGUUUGCUUCAUCAUAUACUAAAACAAAUGUGAAAUUAUGAGGUUUUCCCUAUUGUGACACGAGUGAUAACUUUUUGCAGUUGGAGGCGAACUUCCUGGGCAUCUUAUUCAAAUGAUUGCCAGGCUAUUGGGAUAUUGUUUGGGGCAUAAAGAAAUACGUGUCCGUGAGUUUUGCCAAGGGUUACCCUGAAGAACCAUCUCUAUAUCAUGUGUCUUUCCUGCUGCAAGGGGCUUGGCCAUUGAACCACUUCCAUGGGUCACACCGCUUAGCUUAAAUUUGCAAUAGGAGCAGCCAAAGGCCUCGCGUUCUUGCACCAGUUAGACAGGCAAAUAAUCUGCAGAGAUUUCAAGCCCUCAAACAUUUUGCUGGACUUGGUAAUUUUCAUGUUUGUUAGUUAGAUUAAAUGAAGCAAUCCCACAUUGUUGUUACCUGAUUUGGUUCCAAAAUCUUAUCCUGUGCUGAAAUAA